rnacentral:lncRNA from 1 species
GUUUUCAUACAUAAACAGUAUCAAUUUUAAACGUAGAAAGUAGUGAUACAUAGAACACAUACAAUCGAGAUGAUGGAAACAAAGCAUAGUAGAAAUGGUGGAAAAGCCGCAGGUUUAAAGUGCUAUCCUUAUUUGGCAGCUUACAGUGCUACAAAACACGGUGUUCGUGCUAUUUCUGUUUCGAUACAGACAGGACUGAUGACGUAGCAAAAGCGUUCAUUUAAGUUUUUGGAGCGAAAGAAAUGAUACUGAUGGUUACCAAUGAAGGAAACACAUUCCUUGGUUAAUGGGAUUUAUAUAAGGUAAUGGUAGUAGACUUUGUUCGAAAUGAAAAGUUUGUAUCACAGUAUAUAAUGGCCCAAUUAAAAAUUUUAAAUUAGUUUUGUGUUUCUAUUUUACUUCAAAUAUCAAUAUCUAUGUUAAUGACCACCAAUGUAAAUGUUUAUGCAAAAAUGUAUACGUCUGAGUUACUUAGCGAGCAACAACCUUUUUCUGCUCUAAUUGAAUACUGAACAGUGCUACACCUAGGAAUUCAGAGAAAUGACUUUAACAAAUUAAGGGCCCAGACCGCAGCUCAUCCCCACCAUGAUUAAGUCUGAGGCAUAACAUUUUAUCUCUAUUACGCCGUUUGAUGGCCGAAUUUGCAUUUCCAGAGUUUAAAUUGAAUGUUAUUCUCUUUUUUCCAUUUUUUUUUUUUUGUUUCAAAAAAGUGCAAAAGAGCCCGGUCGACUGAGUCCCCUUAAAUCCACCCCAGUUGAAUUUCAUUGUUAUAAACUCUACAGAAACAGUAAAUUUAAUGUUUUCAAGGUUUUUCAUAUCAAACAAUGUUAUUGUGAUCGCUGCUUGCCUAGAAAUCUGCUUUAAUGAUGUUCCAUUAUAGGCUAAUUUGCCACGACAUUGUUGAACUUGAACACACUAUCAUUACUUCCUAUUAGACAUGCACUGCCUCAACGGUUUAUAUAUAAUUGUUGUUGUGACCAUCUGAUUUUGGCAGGCCAUCUAACCAUCUUCAGUUCUUAUUUAUUUCAAAUUCUUUUUAUAACAUCCAAAGCUUAAGGACAGUUCCGACCUACCUACCAAGUUCAUAACUGACCGUUAUUUGUGAAUUGAGCUCUAAAGUCUUGUGGACCCUGCACAUCAUGUAUAUACUGUCCAAUACGCAUGCGCAUGAGUGUAAACGAAUUAGGUUUUAAAUUCGGAUUUAAAUUCCCAACAAAGCCUCAAUGGCCUAGUUCAUUAAGGCGUCUGAAUAUACAGCAGAAGGUGCCGGGGUUCGAAUCCCGGUUGGGCCACUUAUUUUUUCACACUCGCAGAUUAUUGUUCUUUUACGUUUGAAUUAAAAAAUUCGUUCUUAAUUUUAAAUAAUAUAAAAUAUUAAUAAGAUGAGCGUGGCCGACCAUAGAGAUAGCUGAUGUGGGAAUGAUUUUUCAUUCUGAAAUAUUUUGAAAUAGGCCUGUUAGUUAUUCAAAGUUUGCUUUCCGUACCUUUGAUAACUGAUGCAAUUAUUCUAAAUGUGCGACUAUAAUUAAUAAAACCUUUAAACACAGAUAACUAUUUAACCUUUUACUACAAUGUUUUACACUUACAUUCAA